UGUUCCUCUUCCUCACCAAAUAUCUAGAUCCACCGACUAACACAACUGACAAUCUUCCACCUCUGCGGAAAUGAAACGGCAGAGCAUGAUUAGGGCAGGCGAGCGGCCAUCGCGUCUUAAUUGCUUGCCUAUAUAGGGAGUCCUCUACGGAGCAAUGCAUCCACGAUUCUCAACACACAGAACUGUCAUCUUCAGCGUGGUGUCAUAGCGGAGAUCCACCCGAGCAACGCAAUGAGCCGGAUUGGCACAAGGUUUCCACUUCGGCCCGUUAUAUAGGGCGUCAGUGAUCUGGAGAGGAUAUUUCUGCAGAUCUGAUUUGCUUCUUCAAUGGCAGCGGAUUACUACUUUUAAUUUUAGAUUUUAAUAAUCAAUCUCCAAUCUCUCCCAACCUGGUCACCUCUGGCUGAUUCGGCGAAAAAAGAGCCAGCAAAUUGAGGUUCGCCGUUCAGGUACUCUAGUGGAUCAAUCUCUCCCAACCUGAUUUCCUCUGGGCUCUAGCGCGUCAACUCACACAGCAGUCAUCAUGCAACCACAUAAAACAUUUCCAGCAGACGACUGAGCAUUGGUUUUUUCUGAUUUCUGCAUCUUUCUACAGCGAAAAUAUUUUACUCGACAUGCCAAAUUGCGAAGAUCAGAACAGGGCAUGGACCUUUUUCGCACUAGCUACACAGCAGCAGUAAGAGCGACGCAUUCACCGAAUCAUGUUAGAUUUUAUCAGUUGAGUUUAUUGAAAAUCCUUCUUUGGUACAUCACUAACCAUGGGAGUUUUUUUGCGGUUGGCUAGCAGCUCUUUGUGCUCUAAAAUACGCUUGCAACAAAUGAUCUAGGACUAUUUACCGAAUUUGACAGCACUCUAAAAGUGCAGCUUUUGAUUUUUAUUGCCAGAAAUAUAAGGAGCCAUGUGAGUCCGUCCAGUACUAUUUUCUAUUAUCUAUAGCUCGCUUACAGCUGUUGUUGCAACUUGCAAGAUGAUGAGAUUGUAACGUCAGUGCUUUACUGCAUGUAAAUGUUAUAUUAAAUUGCUUCUUUUAAACCUCCUGUUCCUCUCAUGAUGUUUCUGCAGAUUUUUUUUCUCAUGUUCCAACGUGUUCAAUGAAAGAAGGUUUCGGCCAUUAUACUGCAGACAAUGAUAAUGAUAAGAUUAGUUCAUCUAACUUCACAUUUUGGGGUAUUAGAAUAUAAGGAAUAUACAAGUUUUA